rnacentral:rRNA from 1 species
UACGAAGGGUGCAAACGUUGCUCGGAAUUAUUGGGCGUAAAGGGCUCGUAGGCGGCCAACUAAGUCGGACGUGAAAUCCCUCAGCUUAACUGGGGAACUGCGUCCGAUACUGGAUGGCUCGGAUUUGGGAGAGGGAUGCGGAAUUCCAGGUGUAGCGGUGAAAUGCGUAGAUAUCUGGAGGAGCACCGGUGGCGAAGGCGGCAUCCUGGACCAAUAUUGACGCUGAGGAGCGAAAGCUAGGGGAGCAAACGGG